GGAGUAGCAGCCAUAUAUGAUUCGAGCAUUUUAAUGGACCCUAAACCUAAACUAAAUUAUAAUUCAUUUGAAAGCCUUGUUCUUAGUCUUUCUCACCCAAACUGGAAAACACUGCAGCCAGUUCUAUUUGUUAUAGUGUAGUUUUUAUCAAGUUUAGUCCUUAAAUCAGAUAAAGUAAUUAUUGUAGGUGAUUUUAAUAUUCAUGUGGAUGUUAACAAUGACAGCCUUAGUAAUGCAUUUAUAUCAUUAAUAGACUCAAUUGGCUUCUGUCAGAGUGUAAAUAAACCAACUCAUUGUUUUAAUCACACUCUUGACCUUGUUCUAUCAUAUGGCAUUGAUAUUGAACAUUUAAUAGUCUUCCCACAUAAUCCUUUCCUAUCUGACCAUUAUUUAAUAACUUUUGAAUUCAUAUUAUUAGAUUAUAAGCCAUUAGGCAAAACUUCCUACAGCAGAUGUCUAUCUGACAGUGCUGUAGCUAAAUUUAAGGAGGAGAUUCCUUCAGUGUUUAAUUCAAUGCCAUGUCUGAAUUUAACAGAAUCCUAUAACGACUUUAGUCCCUCUGAAAUUGAUAAUCUUGUUGAUAGUGCUGCAGGCUCACUACGAUCAACAUUAGACUCUAUCGCUCCUAUAAAAAGGAAAUUAUUAAAACAUAGGAGACUAGCACCGUGGUACAAUCACCAAACCCGCCAGUUAAAACAAAUAGCUAGGAAAUCUGAAAGGAAAUGGCGCUCUUCCAAAUUAUCAGAAUAUCGCUCAAUUUGGCAAGAAAAUCUUAAAACUUAUAGAAAGGCCCUCCGUAAUGCCAGAGGAGCCUAUUACUCAGCACUAAUAGAAGAAAAUAAGAACAACCCUAGGUUCCUCUUCAGCACUGUAGCCAGGCUGACAGAGAGUCACAGCUCUAUUGAGCCACAUAUCCCCAUAAACUUAAGUAGCAAUGACUUCAUGAGCUUCUUCUAUAAUAAAAUUAUUACUAUUAGAGAGAAAAUUAAUCACCAACUGCCAUCAACAGUUAUCAGUGGCUCUCCAAGUUCAGGGACUUUUGCUAAUGUAAACUUAGAUAUAUAUUUAGACUGUUUUUCUGCUAUCGAUCUUCAUCAGUUAACUUCAAUCAUUUCUUCAUCGAAGCCAUCAACCUGUCUAUUAGACCGAUCCCCUGCUUAAAGAAGUUGUUCCCUUAAUUGGCACUUCUUUACUGGAUAUGAUUAAUCUUUCUUUAUUAUCAGGAUAUGUACCACAGUCCUUUAAAGUAGCUGUAAUUAAACCCCUUCUUAAAAAGUCCACUCUUGACCCAGGGGUUUUAGCUAACUAUAGACCAAUCUCUAACCUCCCCUUCCUCUCUAAGAUUCUGGAGAAAGUAGUCGCCAAAGAGUUGUGUGACUUUCUACAUAACAAUAGUUUAUUUGAGGAUUAUCAGUCAGGAUUUAGAGUUCAUCAUAGCACAGAGACAGCUCUGGUUAAAGUUAAUAAUGACCUUCUGAUUGCUUCUGACAAUGGACUUGUCUCUGUACUUGUAUUAUUAGAUCUUAGUGCUGCAUUUGACACCAUUGACCAUAAUAUUCUUUUACAGAGACUUGAGCAUCAAAUUGGCAUUAAAGGAACCGCACUAAGCUGGUUUAAGUCAUAUUUAUCAGAUCGUUCGCAGUUUGUACAUGUUAACGAUGAAUCUUCAAUAAAUACUACAGUUAGUCA